GGUAGGACAGUCUGUCUCCUAGGUUACCAUCUGCUCAUGCUUGUACUUGUGGGGCUGCCUCUGCCAUGGCAACAGAGGAAGAAGGGGCCUGAAAAGAAUGAGGGGAGAGAAAGAGGCAGUACCCCACCUUUCACCUUGGUAUGGCAAGGAUGCGAGUGUUCCCCAACGCUAACAGACACUUUAGGCUACAGGGAGACGAGCUCACUUCCGGUGUGCCCCACUUAAUGAGUAAGGUACACUGGGCAUACUAUUGGAGAUGGGAAAUAAGCCAGAAGGAGAUCUUCAUCUGGAGAUUCGUGAAGUCCUCUGAAGAACUAGCAGUGGAGAACAUGGCUGCUUCAAGGGAAUGUCAAAGAUCAGGGCUCCAUACCCAAGGAUUAAACCCUUGCCAUCAUGAGCGUGUACAUACUCAGGGAGAUGUGGUAGAGACCUAGAGCUGGAAUGAGAAGAGUUCUUCCAUGAAAAUAAAGCAGAAAGCCUGUGUGUUGUCUCGAAGAGUACAUAUUAAUCACGACGAGAGAAACAACUUCUCUGCUAACACGUGGGCAGUGAAUUAGAAGUAUUGACGACAUGCCGACCAAAAGUUCUCAUCUCAUAGCUAUGGUUUAAAACCCAGGAUAGGAAGCCUUUUCUCCUUAGCUUUAAAGUGCGGAGAUGGAAAUCUUGGUCAGGAGCUGUACUGCUUCUCAUUUGAGCACAGCUCUGUAACCACAGUAAGGAAUGCAGAGACUGCCAGGG
rnacentral:lncRNA from 1 species